rnacentral:rRNA from 1 species
GUAAGGGAUAUUGCGCAAUGGGCGAAAGCCUGACGCAGCGACGCCGCGUGUGUGACGACGGCCUUCGGGUCGUAAAGCACUUUUCUGGGAGAAGAGACCUUCGAAAAGAAGGGAGACGGUAUCCCAGGAAGAAGCGUCGGCGAACUACGUGCCAGCAGCCGCGGUAAAACGUAGGACGCGAGCGUUAUCCGGAGUUACUGGGCGUAAAGCGCGCGCAGGCGGUGGGGAAGGUUGCACGUGAAAGCCGUCGGCUCAACCGGCGGAGGCCGUGCGAUACCACCCGACUGGGGGGCAGUAGAGGGGCGUGGAAUUCCGGGUGGAGCGGUGAAAUGCGUAGAGAUCCGGAGGAACACCAGAGGCGAAGGCGACGCUCUGGGCUGACCCCGACGCUGAGGCGCGAAAGCCAGGGGAGCGAACGGGAUUAGAAACCCCGGUAGUCC